rnacentral:lncRNA from 1 species
CAGUAAAGCGCCAAAACCUGUAUUGCUACCUGGCAUCAAAAACGUAGAAGAAGAAGAAAAGACCUGCCUGCCGCGAUUUCCGGAUCUUUCUUUCGCUCGAGGACUGCUGUGCAAGCGGUGUCUUCUUUCUCGUGUCUCCUUUGAGCAAAAUGGAAAUUCCUUGAAGCCUUCAGAGAGCAUUUAUCAGGCCACCUUUAUGUUAUGUAUUGGUCAUGAGUUUGAUGCCAUCGUUGUGAUGAGUUUCUGUUACAAGAAGGAAGCUACCAGCAAGGUUGAGUCAUUGUGACUCUGU